AUGCUUUAUUUAUAUAUUUUAAUUUUUGAUUUAAUGCUAUGUAAUAAUUAUGUAAUAAGAUCUUAGAUAUAGAGAUUUUUUAAUUUUAGAAAAUAAAUUUUGAUUUAUUUUAGUCUUCCGCUGUAUGAUCUUGAAAAAGUUUCAAGAUCUAACCCUGAAACCCUAGAUCUGGUUCCUACAAUUGGUAUCAGAGCCAGGUUCUUUAUUACAU
rnacentral:lncRNA from 1 species